rnacentral:rRNA from 1 species
GACGAACGCUGGCGGCGUGCUUAACACAUGCAAGUCGAACGAAGAGCGAUGGAAGCUUGCUUCUAUCAAUCUUAGUGGCGAACGGGUGAGUAACGCGUAAUCAACCUGCCCUUCAGAGGGGGACAACAGUGGGAAACGACUGCUAAUACCGCAUACGACCCAAUCUCGGCAUCGGGACUGGAUGAAAGGUGGCCUCUAUUUAUAAGCUAUCACUGAAGGAGGGGAUUGCGUCUGAUUAGCUAGUUGGAGGGGUAACGGCCCACCAAGGCGAUGAUCAGUAGCCGGGCUGAGAGGAUGAACGGCUCCAUUGGGACUGAGACACGGCCCAGACUCCUACGGGAGGCAGCAGUGGGGAAUCUUCCGCCAUGGACGAAAGUCUGACGGAGCAACGCCGCGUGAGUGAUGACGGCCUUCGGGUUGUAAAGCUCUGUUAAUCGGGACGAAUGGUUCUUGUGCGAAUAGUGCGAGGAUUUGACGGUACCGGAAUAGAAAGCCACGGCUAACUACGUG